rnacentral:rRNA from 1 species
AUGUACAUUCCUACAACGUUAAUGCAAUUUAUCCCAUCAGAGCUCUGCAAUUAAGCGCACUUGGGCUAGAGUAGUACUAGGAUGGGUGAUCUCCCAAGAAGUCCUAGAGUUUUCCAUG